AAGAGGUGUGGCAGCUCAAGAAGGUACCAUUCAGCGGGGAGACUACAUCUUAUCUAUCAAUGGAAUGUCUGUAAUAGGCACAACACAUGUCGAUGUGCUGAACGCACUUCACCGGGCCCGCUUACAUAAACAGGCCAUCAUUGUCAUUAAAAAAGGAAAGGAACAGGAAGAAAUUUCUUCCAAGCCAGAUUUAUCACUUUCUAAAGGAAACCAUCUCACAGCGGGAAGCAAUGAUACUACAGAAACACUAGGAACAGACGUGAAUGUGGACCUUAGAGGGGCCAUCACUGUAGAGCUGCUGAAGACCUCUGCUGGCCUAGGAUUCAGCCUGGACGGUGGGAAGGCUUCGAUCAAUGGAGACAGACCUCUGCACAUUAAGCGAAUAUUUCAAGGUGGUGUUUCUGAACAAUCUGGAAAGAUCAAUGUUGGGGAUGAAUUGCUCGCAAUCAAUGGAAAGUUCCUGCGUGGCCUCAUGCACUAUGACGCUUGGAACAUUAUCAAGUCUGUCCCUGAAGGACCUGUCCAGUUAGUGAUUCGGAAAAUUAAAACAGUUUAAUGAUUGAGGUUUGUUCGAUGCAUUGGAGCACAACCAAUAACAUCAUUGUGCCAAAGUGAAAUGAAAACCCUCAAAUUCCAUCAAAAUUACCUCUGUCAAUGUUUUUCUUCAAGAAAUGAGAAUUGGCAAAAUAAUAAGACAGAUUAUAGCAGAAUUGUGUAUCUUCCAGAAUGAAAGGCCUUUUUAUUACAAUAAAUCUUUGAGAAGAAAAAGGUUAAGGGAAAAUAGAUUUCAGAAUCUUUUGUUGUAUUCCAGAGCAGAAAUUGGAGUUCAAAUGAUGUUCAAAUAAUCCAACACAAAGGAUUUACAUUUGGAAAGCUCACCAUUGAUACUUGCAUGCACCCAUUACCAUACUUAAAAAUCUUCAAAUCAAGCUUCUGGGAAAUUCAUUGUCUGAAAUGAAGUGGAUACUUUCUCUGUAGAAAGAUGUCUAUAAAAAUGUUGAGAAUCCAAACCAAAAGGGCCUCCAGUUGUGCAGUUACACUGCUGAAGUUUACCUUGUUUACUGCCAAGCAGUUUACUGACAACACUUUGUACCAAUGCGAUUCUGCUUACUUGCACACAUCCAAAGGACAAUAGUCAUUAGUUGGAUUUUAAAUAUCAGCCAAGUACAAGUUUGAGACUUUGUUAUGCAGGCAGGGGGAACCAGUAAUUACCAUCAAAUAACAUUCCACUAACCCCUUUGUGCGUAACACUAGCCCCAGAGCACUGUGACUCCACUGGUCAGAAAUGUGAAGCUAAGGGAAACUGCUUGUCCCUUGGCAACCCGUUCAUCCUUGAUCAUUGGAAGUAACAAAUCUUGGAGCAUGCAUUCUCAACCAGGAAAUGUUACACCCUGUAACUCCAGUUAUUCCAAUUCACAGGGUCUCCUCAGCAGUAUCUCUGCAUGUGAAGAAAUCAUCAUGCAUCGGCAGUAAUUGUGUGCAUCAAGUUUCAAAUAAUAUAAGAGCCCCCUGUAUUAAAACUAGUUGUUCAAUAUAUUUCAGAACAGCGGGGCAGUUUUCCCCUUUAGGAAGCCAGCAAAAGAACUUGGUGAGAUGGAAGCAUUUUUUGCAUAGUGCUGUGCCAGCUGCCUGCAAUCCUCCAUGUAUUUAUUCUAAUAGGCAGUAUAUUGUCAGCAGCUUGCACCCAGUUAAUUUGAUUAGGGCCCCCCCCCCCCAACAGAAAACCUGUCUCCGUGUCCAUAAGGAGCAAAGGCUGUUUUUCAUUAGCAAAUGGUCAUGAGCAAUGAGGUACUUUUAUUCUGUGGUUCUCAAAUUAAGGCUCGAGAGGCAGUGAUCUGUGGUGCUUCAAAAGCUGAUUGGGAGUUUAGAUUAGCAUGACAUGACCACCUUUUCCCUGACUCCUCCUUCAAACUGGCUAAUGACAGUGUGACAUCAAGACCAAGCUCUUGCUAUCAAAGUUGGUAGCUUCAGUUGGGAAAUGUCCCAGCCCUCUUGACCUACCUCAGUUAAAUAUACCCUAAAAAGAGUAAUUUUCACUCCAUGACGAGCAGGAAUACAAGAUAGGUGGGUCUCUAAUCCUGAAAGCAGAGCAUAGGAGACUAUAGGAGCAGAUGAGUGCUGGAGUAGAUUGGUUAGAAGACCCAUUUUGUUUAUCUGGAAUUUUGUCCAAUUUGUUUUAUAACAUGUGAGGUCCUCUAACUAUCACCCCUAUCACAAACUCAUGGCCUUUCAUACCCUCCAUGCCAACUCAAUCCUGGCUGGCCCAGCAUCCACCCUGGGCAGAUCACAGGAAACAUCUAGAGAUAAACAAAAACUUCUAACAAUAUAAUACAGUUCUCAUUUCUACAUACUUGAUAGUGAAAGCACUCACGUUCUAGAAACCCAUUCAAAACUUUUAAAUCUCAAGUGGUUUAAAAAUGUUCUAUUCAGACAUCACAUCAAGGACAACUAAUCCUUUAAUAGCCUCUUAAACAUCAAUCAAACUGAACCCAGACCUCCCACAGAGAUAAAUAUAGCUUUUGAAACACAGUCAAGCAUUCAUAAUGACAGAUGCUCGCCCUUGACUAAAUGUCAAUGAAGAGUUCUGUUGAAACCACACAACCAGAUGCUGCUUUUCUUUCUAAAGAAAGAAGAUGCAGCAGAUGGCCUGUCAAUUAAUCAAAUUGUAGCUGUCAAUGUUGUUGAUUUUGUUUUAACAUUUAGCAGGGGAUUUCAUUUAUUUUAAAGUCAUAGUAGUUCUGCAGACUUCAUUCAUUCUUAAGGAACAUUUAUAUCUUCUUCAAUUUACGACUCUCACACUGUGAACUAAGGCCUUUGAAUAAGCCAAAUGGGAUCUAUUUUAACUCAACAUUGGAUUCAAGUGACCCUGCUGAGUUUGGUUUUCCUUUCAAUGUGAAUCAUACCCCAUCAAAUUUUCUCUAUCAGCAAGCAGGACUUACACAUCUGGAUCCCGCCCACAAUGUUUCAAAAGCUUCCCUGGCUCCAUGAAAAUCCGGCCUCGAGCUGGUUGUAAAGAAUAGAAUCAUAGAAUUUUGUAAUACAGAAGGGGGCCAUUCAGCCCAUCAUGCCUGUGCCAGUUCCCAAAAGAGCUACCAUUCUCCAGCCUUAUCUCCAUAGCACUCUAAGUUCGUCACUUUCAAAUGUAUAUCCAGCUCUCUUUUGAAACCUCCUGUGGAAUCUGCCUCCACCACUCUCCUAGGCAGCACGUUCCAACAACUUGCUGAAUAAAGAAGUUUCUCCUCAUCUCACUCUUAGCACUCUUGCUGAAAAUCUUGAAAUUGUGACCACUAGAUACUGACAUACCAACUAGUGGAGACAGAAUAUUCUUCUUUACCCUGUCAAAAUUGUUCAUCAUUUUGAACAUUCAAUGAGAUCACCUCUUAAUCUUCUCCUUUGCACUCGCUCCAGGGCUGUAACAUUCUUCCUUAAAUAAGGUGCUCAGAACUGAACACAUUAUUCCAAAUAUGGUCUGACCAAAGAUUUGUAGAGGAGCAGCAUCACUUCCCUAUUUUUAUACUCAUUGUCUCUAUCUAUUAUCCCAAUGGUCCUUUAAGCCUUCCUAGCAAUUGUUUCCACUUGCCUGUCUACCUUCAGAGAAAUAUGCACUUGCACCCUGAAAUCCCUCUCCUCCCAUUAAAGUUGUACUAUUGUCUCUCCAAGUACCAUAUCAAAUUCUUUUUGAAAGUCCAAAUACAACAUCCACAGCACCGCCCUCAUCCACUACCUGUGAAACUUCAUUAAAUAACUCAAUUAAAUUUGUCAGACAUGACCUUCCCUUAACAAAACCAUUUUUACUGUCUAGUAUGAACUUAUUUUGUCUAAGUAUGGAUUUGUCUUAUCCCAUAUUACGGCUUCCAUCAGUUUUCCAACUAUUUAUGUCUAGCUGACAAGUCUGUAGUUCCAUGGGUUUCCUUUGUGCAUUUCUUAAACAAUACCAUCACAUUUGCAAUCCUCCAGGCCCCAAGACUAAUUCUGUGUUCAGAAAAGCCUGGAAAAUUUGUUAAUGGCUCUGUGAUCUGCUCUCUUACAUCUCUCAGCAAUCUAGGAUACGUGCCAUCUGGACAAAACAAAAAACUGCAGAUGCUGGAAAUCUGAAACAAAAACAGAAAUUACUGGAAAAAACUCAGCAAGUUUUGCAGCAUCUGUGGAGAGAGAAACAGAGUUAACAUUAUGGGUCCAGCAAUCCCUCUUCAGAACAUUUUGAAGUUUUUCCAGCAAUUUCUGUUUUGUUGCAUUCCAACUGGGCCUGGCGAAUUCUCUACCUGGAGUGUGCUGCCAGACUUUGUAGUACCUGUUCUUUAUCUAUAACUUGGUUAUUCAGUUGCUCAAUACCCAUAUUUUCAACUGGGCCAUUAUCACCAUCUUCAAAUUUGGUAAAGACAGAACAAAGUAACAUUUAGUACCUUUGCCAUACCGUUUGCUUCAGCGAGUUUACCCUGCUUAUUCCUAUCCUUCACUAAUUUUUUUACUAUUAAUACGUUUGAAAACAUUUUAAAAUUUGCUUUAGUGCAGCCUGCCAUCCUUUCCUCAUGCUUCUUCUUAGCCUUCCAUAUUCAAGCCUUAACCUGGAAUUCACUGUUAAAUCCAUUAAAAGGUGUUUCCAAUCAUCAUCUUAAGUUCAACUUUUAGAUCCCUGCGAUAUGUCCUUUUCUAGUCUGGCGCCUUAAUCCUUGAUGUUUAUCCUUUUCCAAUUUAAUACUGAAACUUACUAUAUAAUGAUCUCUAUUUCCCAAGUGGUCCCGCACUUUGACAUUCUCCAUUUGACCUGCCUCGUUUCCUAGGACCAGAUCCUGCACAGCUUCCUCCCUGGAAGGACUGGAAAUGUACUGUUCCAGAAAGUUCUCCUGCACACAUUGAAGGAAUUUCUCCCUUUCCAUGCCACGUACUCUACCUUUGUUCCAGUCUACCCUAGAGUAAUUGAAAUCACCGACUAUCACAACCCUACUUGCAGAUUUCCAUAAUCUGCAUACAAGUGCUCUCUUGUACUUCCCACUAUUUGGAGGUCUAUAAAUAAAUACCCAACAAGGUCACCAACUGCCUUCCUGUUUUGCUUCUCCAACUAUAUAUAGAUUCUCAUUCAGGAACAGCAUCUUGUUGAAGGGCUAUGAUACUAUCUUUGACCAACACUGCUAUGCUUCCUCCUUUUUUACCCACCUUGCUUCUACUAAAAAAAAUCUUAUAACCCGGAAUGUCAAGUAUCCAGACCUUUUCUGGCUUGAGCCAUGUUUCUGUUAAUGCUACUAUGUCAUAUCUCCAUAGAGCAACUUCUACUUCCAAUUCCCCAAUUUUGUUCACUACAGUCCAUGCAUUUACAUACAAUUUAGUCCUGUCCUUAUCUCUUUCAUGCCCAGUGGGAGGUAACCAUUUCUUUGUCCACUAUAAACUUUCAAAACCUUCCCUCACUUCCUUUUCCCUGUUCCCCAUCUCUCCUUUACCCUCUCUGGUACUUCCAAAACUAGACCCAUAGAACAACCCACUCCCCUGCCUUACAAUUUUGAAUCCACCCCCACUACGUUAUUUACUGUCUCAACCAGGAGCUUAGUUCCAUUUCAGCUGUGUUGAAGCCCAUUACUUUUGAACAGCUUUCUCCUUUCCCAGAAGUGUUCCCAACAUCCUAAAAAUCUAAACCCCUCUCUUCUACACCAUCCGUCAAUCCAGGCAUUUACCUUCUGAGCUGUCUUUGCUUAAAUGGUGAAGCUCAUGGCACAGAUAUAUUUCUGAGAUUACUACCCUGGAGGUCCUAUGUUUGAACCUACUCCCUAACUCCUGACAAGAUGCAUCACUUAAAUGCAGGAUUCAAAAUAUCAGUAAGCUGAGCUCCUAAAAUUUAAUUAGCUCAAUUCAGUCAUUCUUUAUAAAAUUUAUGGUGUUUGUUUCAAGUUAGCUUUUACAGCAAGGUAAAUAUGGUUUAAACUCUUGUAUUUUAAUCCAUAUCAAGUGAUCAUGAGGAGCUGUUGUUAUGUCUUGUUAUGGAUCAAGUCAUGUUAGAAACUGAAUAAGAUUAGUUUCCUUUUUAAACUAAAUCAUGAAGUAAGUCCUGCAAGACCUCCGAGCUGCCCCUCUCCAUAUCAUUGGUUCCCACAAGAACCACAAACACUAGCUGUUCACCUUCUUUCCAGACAUUUAUCCAGCCAUUCAGUUAUGUCCUGAAGGCAAUAUUAUGCAUUAUGCAAGCUGCCUAACUAAAGUGACAUUAGUGAUUCCAACCUGCCUGUCAGGAGUGAACCUAAAAAGGCAAGUAAAACUAAUGGGGUGGAAUUAUGUUCCAUGCUAUUAGCUAAUAAUGCAAAAGGUAUUAUGAUAAAUAGGUUAAUGUCACCAUUAAAACAAAGGAAUGGGAACCUCCAGCAUAAUCACUCACAACAAAAACCAUGUGUACAAUUUCACGUCAUUUAUGAAUCACUGACAAUAAUUUGUGGAUCCAAAGGAAUGAAUAAAUAACCAGCCCUUUAAUAUCUACAACCAAUUGAAUUUCUAACAGUUUUCUUUGCACCUGAAGCUAUGCCAUUAGAUUGUUUCCCUGUAGGUGGCAGUAGUACCAGAUCCUUUGUCAUGCAAUCCUUUCUGUCAAGGAAGCCAUUCCAUUUAUAAAGAUGUCAAAACAUUUUGAAUUUAUUUGUGCUGGCAAGAUCACAUUUCAUGCCCAUUUCUUGUUACCUUAAUAGUUUUUAUUUAUUAAACUGCUGCAAUCCUUAAGGCAUUGGAACUUCUGUAAAGGUCUUAUGUACGAAGUCCAACAAUUCCAUAGGUGCAUUCAGUACUGAGAAAGCAAUAACUUGUAUUAUGUAAUGUUUUAUCAUACUAAUAUCACAAAGUGCUUUACAGGAAUGUUAUCAGACUGAUUUGACACAUGUUAAGGCAAAUGACCAAAAUUUUAGUCAGAGGUCAGGUUUACUUAGCUUCUAAAAAGUGGACAAACAGUUGGAGAGGUUUAGGGAGGAGAUUCCAGAACUUAGCAAAUAGUAAAUGAUAAAAUACAAUUUCGAAACUGUGUAACUAUAACCAGAUGAGAUUUCUGCAGGGGUUUUUCCAACUGUUUCUGCCCACUGCACUUAUCAAGAUUUUCUCUAAAUAGUGAUGAGGUAAUCAUCAACCAUGAUCUAAAUGAAUGACAGAACAGACUCAAGGGGUUGAAUGGCCUACUCCUGUUCUGCAUAUUGUCAUUAAUUUAAAAAGUAUAUAAAUAUUGUCCCUUGCAUGCAGCAAUAUAUCUCAGUGCAUUUGCAAAGGAUAAGAUGCAUCUUUUAAAUGCAGGAUUCAAAAUUCCAGUAAGCUGAGCUCCUAAAAUGUAAUUAGCUCAAUUCAAUCUUUCUUUAUAAAAUUUAUGGUGUUUGUUUUAAGUUAGCUUUUACAGCAAGAUAAAUAUGGUUUAAACUCUUGCAUUUUAAUCCAUAUUAACAAGAAACUAAAUUUAGCAAAGCUGAAGUGAUCACGAGGAGCUAUAUGUCUUGUAAUGAAUCAAGUCAUGUUAGAAACUGAAUAAGAUUAGUUCCCUUUUUAAACCAAAUCAUGGUGAAAUAAGUCAGUAUACAGAUUAAAUAGUUGCAUCUUUAAUCUGAAAUAUUUAUCUGGAAUCUUAUAUAAAGCUUGAUGCCUGACUCUGUUUGAAAGAAUCCACAUUCCAGACUAGUAUAAAACUAAAACACUGCAGAUGCUCAAAAUCUGAAAUAAAAAUUGAUCGUUUUGUUUGGCAGCAUCUGUGUAGUAAGAAAAAGUUAAUGUUUUGGGUCAAUUACUUUUCAUCAGUUCUGAUUUAUUUUACCUGAUUAUUGUUCUGAAAUAUUAACUUUGAUUCUUUCUCUGUGGAUGCUACUUGAACUGUUAAGUCUUUCAAGUAUUUGAAUUUCCACCCUGAUCAUUUUGUUUGCCCUAGUAUGCUCUGUUGUUUUGAUAAUCCCCUGUUUGGAAUAGACAGUUUCAAAGUGCUAAUAUAAUGAACAAUGUAUUCAAUAUGUGCAAAUUAUUUUAAUAAUUUGUUAUUAUAAAUGUUACUGGACUUAGUGACGGGAGAAAGAUAUAUGAAUGUGAAUAUCUGGAUUGAAAUUAUUUUUCUCUGCUAUUUUCUUUCCCUAAAACUUGUAACUGUUGAAAUCCCCUAUUAUAAAUUCCACUUUUUAGUUAAUUUGCACACCUAUUCAGGUGCUCCUAGAAUCAUGCAAGUACAAUAUGAGGAUAGUUAGUAGCUUAUUUGUCUACCUUUGGAAAAUGUAACAUAGAUCUCAACAAACAGCACCAGAUUUCAUAGUGUAGAUAUUUUUCAAUCAAACUGUUUGGGUGUGUUAUGACACAUCUUCUGGAGCAGGUGGGACUUGAAUCCAGAUCUUCUGGCCCAAGGUAGGGAUACUACCACUGCACCACAAGAGCUCCAAUUUCACAGCGUAUAACAAAUAAGAAUAAUCAAGCCUCUAACUAAGCCAUCCCAUCCUUAUUUAUUUUCAUUGAUUUGUUAUGGUUUCAAAUUGCUAACAUCUAUUUGGUGAUGCAAUGAAUUCACUCCUUUUUUUGAAAACGGUAAUGAAUAUUAUGUAAAGACAGCCAUUGGUAUUACAAAUGGGUUCUGUAAACUAGCAUAUUCUAGCAUUACAAUUUCACCAAUUCAACUCUACACUUCUCACUGAUUCAAUUUUAAAUCUACAAAAGUAUCUAAUUAUCAAUGAAAAAAUCAUUUAAAGGUAACACCUAUUAAAUUGAGACCUACUUAUGUUUCAAAAAACAUUUUGGUGCACAAUAAUCUGUAAAAUACUGUUGUAAAAAUAUCUUUAUUUGUGUAUUAAUAUGACUGCUUUAUCAACAGUUGUCUUACAUGAACUUUGGGGGAUUAAAAGAGUGCAAUACUACUAGAUGGACUGUAUAUUUUUUAAAGUGGCUUUGCGCUCAUUGUUUAAAGCUGAAAAAUCUGUAAACAAGGUUUUAUAUUGAUUCAAAACAAUAUUUUAUGAAAUAAAAAU